rnacentral:rRNA from 1 species
AGUCGAACGCGAACGGUCCUUCGGGAGCUAGUAGAGUGGCAAACGGGUGAGUAACGCGUGGGUAACGUACCCUGAUCCUGGGAAUAGCCCUCGGAAACGAGGGCUAAUACCGAAUGUGGCGAACGACCGGUUGGUCGCUCGCUAAAGGUGGCCUCUUCUAUAGCUGCCGGGUUGGGAUCGGCCCGCGUCCCAUUAGCUAGUUGGUGAGGUAACGGCUCACCAAGGCCACGAUGGGUAGCCGGCCUGAGAGGGUGUACGGCCACACUGGCACUGAGACAAGGGCCAGUCCCCUAUAGGAGGCGCAGGCGGGAAUAGUUCACAAUGGGCGAAGGCCUGAUGACGCGACGCCGCGUGAGCGAAGAAGACCUUCGGGUUGUAAAGCUCUGUCAGGAGGGAAGAAGGCUCUACGGGUUAAUAGCCCGUGGAAUUGACGGUACCUCCAGAGGAAGCCCCGGCUAAAUACGUGCCAGCAGACGCGGUAAAUACGUAUGGGGCAAGCGUAGUCCGGAUAUACUGGGCGUAAAGGGCGCGUAGGCGGAUAGUUAAGUCGAAGGUGAAAUCCUCGGGCUCAACUCGAGAAUUGCCUUUCGAUACUGGCAAACUAGAGUGGCGGAGAGGAAAGCGGAACUCUUGGUGUAACGGUGGAAUGUGUAGAUAUCA